UGUAAAAAAAUUCAUUCCUUUCUACUCUAAAAAAUUAGCAUGAUUGAUAAAAUAAUUAAACAAUAACACGGGGCAUGUUAUGUGUAUCUCCUACUAAUGUACAUAGAUCAAUUUUUAAAAGUAGAAAUGAAUAAGAUUUUAACA
rnacentral:pre_miRNA from 1 species